rnacentral:rRNA from 1 species
AUUGAACGCUGGCGGCAGGCCUAACACAUGCAAGUCGAACGAGUGGCGGACGUGUGAUUAAUGUCUGUGACACUUCCUGAUGGAUGGGGAUGACUAAUGGAAACGGUAGCUACUACCGCAUACCAUCGGAUGUGCCCAGAUUGGAUUAGCUAGUAGGUGGGGUAAAGGCUCACCUAGGCGACGAUCCCUAGCUGGUCUGAGAGGAUGACCAGACAAACUGGAACUGAUACACGGUCCAGACGCCUACGGGAGGCAGCAGUGGGGAAUAUUGCACAAUGGGCGCAAGCCUGAUGCAGCCAUGCCGCGUGUAUGAAGAAGGCCUUCGGGUUGUAAAGUACUUUCAGCGGGGAAGCGGUACCUGCAGAAGAAGCACCGGCUAACUCCGUGCCAGCAGCCGCGGUAAUUC